AUGCAAGGCUGGUCAGAAAGACUCUUUGUGUGUGCUGGGCGGGAAACUUUGCUAAAAUCCAUCAUUCAGGCUAUCCCAACAUUCAGUAUGAGUGUCUUUCUGUUAACCAAAAAGGUAUGCAAGAGUUUGACGUUUUGCAUGGCCAAGUAUUGGUGGAGUAGUUCAAUUGAUAAGUGGUCUAUGCAUUGGAUUUCUUGGAAGGAACUGACAACACCAAAAUGUAAGGGUGGCAUGGGUUUUCGAGAUCUCCACCUUUUCAACAUAGCACUAUUGGGUAAACAAGUAUGGCGCUUGAUUAUGAAUCCGGAUACUCUAUGUGCGAGAGUACUUAAGGGAAGGUACUUCCCCGACACAGACUUCAUGCACGCUUCAACUCCAGGUUCAUCCUCCGCCACCUGGAGGGCCAUCAUAGCGGGCAGGGAGGCCUUGAUCACGGAGCUCAUCAAACGUGUGGGAGACGGCACGACAAUCUCAAUAUGGGAUGACCGGUGGAUACCAUCUACACACACUAUGACUCCACUGUUUCGUCCACCCGCAACAAACGUCGCAUUGGUAAGCGACCUAAUUGACACGGACAACUGGACUUGGCAGCGGGAGCUUAUCCGUGAAAACUUCAUCACUCCGGAUGCAGAAGCAAUCUUGAACAUUCCACUACGCGCAGGAGGAGGGGAUGAUUUCUUGGCAUGGGCACAUGAAAUAUCAGGCAACUACACCGUUAAGUCGGUGUACCGAGCUCUAGUUACUCGUAACGAGCUUCAGGCUCUAGAGGAAGGGCAGGCUACCGGACCUUCAACAGAUAAACAACGGAUGUGGAAUGACCUCUAG
rnacentral:rRNA from 1 species